AACGAACGCUGGCGGCAUGCCUAACACAUGCAAGUCGAACGAGACCGUCGGGUUUAGUGGCGCACGGGUGCGUAACGCGUGGGAACCUGCCCUUAGGCUCGGCAUAACUCCCCGAAAGGGGUGCUAAUCCCGGAUAAUGUCUUCGGACCAAAGAUUUAUCGCCUUUGGAUGGGCCCGCGUUGGAUUAGCUAGUUGGUAGGGUAAAAGCCUACCAAGGCGUCGAUCCAUAGCUGGUCUGAGAGGAUGAUCAGCCACACUGGGACUGAGACACGGCCCAGACUCCUACGGGAGGCAGCAGUGGGGAAUAUUGGACAAUGGGCGAAAGCCUGAUCCAGCAAUGCCGCGUGAGUGAUGAAGGCCUUAGGGUUGUAAAGCUCUUUUACCCGGGAUGAUAAUGACAGUACCGGGAGAAUAAGCUCCGGCUAACUCCGUG
rnacentral:rRNA from 1 species